rnacentral:rRNA from 1 species
UGGCCAGACUCCUACGGGAGGCAGCAGUGGGGAAUAUUGCACAAUGGGGGAAACCCUGAUGCAGCGACGCCGCGUGAGUGAAGAAGUAUUUCGGUAUGUAAAGCUCUAUCAGCAGGAACGAGACAAGACGGUACCUGACUAAGAAGCCCCGGCUAACUACGUGCCAGCAGCCGCGGUAAUACGUAGGGGGCAAGCGUUAUCCGGAAUCACUGGGUGUAAAGGGAGCGUAGACGGCUGUGCAAGCCUGAAGUGAAAGGCGGGGGCCCAACCCCUGGACUGCUCUGGAAACUGUUGUACUUGAGUGCAGGAGAGGUAAGUGGAAUUCCUAGUGUAGCGGUGAAAUGCGUAGAUAUUAGGAGGAACACCAGUGGCGAAGGCGGCGUACUGGACUGUAACUGACGUUGAGGCUCGAAAGCGUGGGGAGCAAACAGGAUUAGAUACCCGCGUAGUA